rnacentral:rRNA from 1 species
UACGAGGGGUGCAAGCGUUGCUCGGAAUUAUUGGGCGUAAAGGGUAGGUAGGUGGUCUCAUUUGUCUGGGGUGAAAGCCUUGGGCUUAACCCAAGAAGUGCCCCAGAAACGGUGAGACUAGAGUCCUGGAGAGGGUCGUGGAAUUCCCGGUGUAGCGGUGAAAUGCGUAGAGAUCGGGAGGAACACCAGAGGCGAAGGCGGCGACCUGGACAGGUACUGACACUCAACUACGAAAGCGUGGGGAGCAAACAGG